AAAAAAAAAAAGUGCUAUUUCAUUCCCAGUGUAAUAGCUUAAACCACUUGAACUGUCAGCUGCUUCCCAAAUAGAAUGUAAAAUGAUUCCCUAAGCAAAUCACUCAUCGUUACUUCUGACUUCCAUCAAAUAAAGUGAGUAGUUGUUACACCAUCUAGAUUCGUUCCUAUUGUGAAAUAUCCACAACACAGCCUGAUCAAGCCAUGUUUAGAGAGUUUAGAUUUGUAGAGAAUAGACAAAAUGCCUCAUGUCCUUUUCAGGGAGAAAAAGACAAGAGAGAAAAUCCAAAUGAAAAGGCCCAGAAUCCUCUGAUUACAGAAGCCAAAAUAACCAAAAGCACUCAUGGAAAAAAAAAAAAUCUCAUAAACAGGAGCAGCCUGGUCUGUUUGCUUGGCCAAGGGCUCUUCAAAACUUAUAGAAGGAAUAGGAACAGCAUUUGAGAGGGAAAUGAGAUCUGGUUUUAUCUGCAGGAGCAUCUCCCAUGAGAGUUGAGGAAAUUCAUAACUGGUUGAACAGCUGUUGGCAUUGAUCAAUGUACUCCCGGAUGGACACGGCCCUGGCUUGUUUGGCAUUUAUAUCCACGCCUUGGCUGAAAGUUUAGAGGGCACAUUGAUUUAAUUUGUGGAUGACAAGAGCCUGGAAAGGAUAGCAAAUUCAUUGGCUGAUAGAAUUAAGACCAAAAAGACUGACAGGCUGGAGCAAUGGGAUAAAUCUAACAAGAUGGAUUUUAUCAGCAAUAGAAAGAAGAUCCUGCACUUAGGUAAAACAAACCAGGACUCAGGGCAUAUUCUUAGGAAAUUAUUCAUAUAAAUCUUAAAGUCUGGGAUAAUUAAGUGCAGGUAACUGGUGUGCAUGUGGUAGUGAUGGUGAGACAUGGUUUAGCAGAAGCAGUUUUGCAGAAGAUUUGAGGGUUGAUAUGGCUGCCAAAAUCCAGUGAGAUCUUAGGUUAUAGAAUUAGAAAUAACAACAAUUACCAUGGUAAUGGUGGGGAUUGGGGCAGUGAAAAGAAAAAGUGGGCAGGAAGAGGUCAGGAAUGUCUUUCAUUUUAGGAAAGAUCUUCUCCAUCAUCUAGUGUAAUAUGUCCUCUAGUACCUUCCUGAGAAUAAAUGGAAGGAAAAUUCAAGACAUUUGAUUUCUAAAAAAUCAUUAUUCAACUUUCAUGUUUGAUUAGUAGGCUGAGUAGAAAAUUUUAGGUUGGAAAUGCUUUCUUUUAGAAUUUUUAUAUAUAUAUAUGUAUUUUUUACUAUACUCUAAGUUCUACGGUACAUGUGCACAACGUGUGGGUUUGUUACAAAGUAUACAUGUGCCAUGUUGGUGUGCUGCACCCAUUAACUCGUCAUUUACAUUAGGUAUAUCCCCUAAUGCUAUCCCUCCCCGCUCCGCCCACCCCACAACGGGCCCCGUUGAGAACAUUUG
ensembl:lincRNA